rnacentral:rRNA from 1 species
CACGUAGGGCACGAGCGUUGUCCGGAAUUAUUGGGCGUAAAGAGCUCGUAGGCGGCCUGUUGCGUCCGCUGUGAAAGCCCGGGGCUUAACCCCGGGUCUGCAGUGGAUACGGGCAGGCUAGAGGUAGGUAGGGGAGAAUGGAAUUCCCGGUGUAGCGGUGAAAUGCGCAGAUAUCGGGAGGAACACCGGUGGCGAAGGCGGUUCUCUGGGCCUUACCUGACGCUGAGGAGCGAAAGCGUGGGGAGCGAACAGG